rnacentral:rRNA from 1 species
UACGAACCGUACAAACGUUAUUCGGAAUCACUGGGCUUAAAGGGUGCGUAGGCGGCCAUGUAAGUGAGGUGUGAAAUCCCUCGGCUCAACCGAGGAACUGCGCUUCAUACUGCAUGGCUUGAGGGAGACAGGGGUAAGCGGAACUGAUGGUGGAGCGGUGAAAUGCGUUGAUAUCAUCAGGAACACCGGGUGGCGAAAGCGGCUUACUGGGUCUCUUCUGACGCUGAGGUACGAAAGCUAGGGUAGCGAACGGG